GAGUGAGUGGCGAACUGGUGAGUAACACGUGGGAAACCUGCCCAGAAGCGGGGGAUAACACCUGGAAACAGAUGCUAAUACCGCAUAACAACUUGGACCGCAUGGUCCGAGUUUGAAAGAUGGCUUCGGCUAUCACUUUUGGAUGGUCCCGCGGCGUAUUAGCUAGAUGGUGAGGUAACGGCUCACCAUGGCAAUGAUACGUAGCCGACCUGAGAGGGUAAUCGGCCACAUUGGGACUGAGACACGGCCCAAACUCCUACGGGAGGCAGCAGUAGGGAAUCUUCCACAAUGGACGAAAGUCUGAUGGAGCAACGCCGCGUGAGUGAAGAAGGGUUUCGGCUCGUAAAACUCUGUUGUUAAAGAAGAACAUAUCUGAGAGUAACUGUUCAGGUAUUGACGGUAUUUAACCAGAAAGCCACGGCUAACUACGUGCCAGCAGCCGCGGUAAUACGUAGGUGGCAAGCGUUGUCCGGAUUUAUUGGGCGUAAAGCGAGCGCAGGCGGUUUUUUAAGUCUGAUGUGAAAGCCUUCGGCUCAACCGAAGAAGUGCAUCGGAAACUGGGAAACUUGAGUGCAGAAGAGGACAGUGGAACUCCAUGUGUAGCGGUGAAAUGCGUAGAUAUAUGGAAGAACACCAGUGGCGAAGGCGGCUGUCUGGUCUGUAACUGACGCUGAGGCUCGAAAGUAUGGGUAGCAAACAGGAUUAGAUACCCUGGUAGUCCAUACCGUA
rnacentral:rRNA from 2 species